GAGUAACACGUGGGUAACCUGCCUGUAAGACUGGGAUAACUCCGGGAAACCGGGGCUAAUACCGGAUGGUUGUUUGAACCGCAUGGUUCAAACAUGAAAGGUGGCUUCGGCUACCACUUACAGAUGGACCCGCGGCGCAUUAUCUAGUUGGUGAGGUAACGGCUCACCAAGGCGACGAUGCGUAGCCGACCUGAGAGGGUGAUCGGCCACACUGGGACUGAUACACGGCCCAGACUCCUACGGGAGGCAGCAGUAGGGAAUCUUCCGCAAUGGACGAAAGUCUGACGGAGCAACGCCGCGUGAGUGAUGAAGGUUUUCGGAUCGUAAAGCUCUGUUGUUAGGGAAGAACAAGUGCCGUUCAAAUAGGGCGGCACCUUGACGGUACCUAACCAGAAAGCCACGGCUAACUACGUGCCAGCAGCCGCGGUAAUACGUAGGUGGCAAGCGUUGUCCGGAAUUAUUGGGCGUAAAGGGCUCGCAGGCGGUUUCUUAAGUCUGAUGUGAAAGCCCCCGGCUCAACCGGGGAGGGUCAUUGGAAACUGGGGAACUUGAGUGCAGAAGAGGAGAGUGGAAUUCCACGUGUAGCGGUGAAAUGCGUAGAGAUGUGGAGGAACACCAGUGGCGAAGCGACUCUCUGGUCUGUAACUGACACUGAGGAGCGAAAGCGUGGGGAGCGAACAGGAUUAGAUACCGUUGUAGUCCACGCCGUAAGCGAUGAGUGAUAAGUGUUAGGGGGUUUCCGCCCCUUAGUGGUGCAGCUAACGCAUUAAGCACUCCGCCUGGGGAGUACGGUCGCAAGACUGAAACUCAAAGGAAUUGACGGGGGCCCGCACAAACGGUGGAGCAUGUGGUUUAAUUAGAAGCAACGAGAAGAACCUUCCCAGGUCUUGACAUCUUUUGACAAUCCUAGAGAUAGGACGUCCCCU
rnacentral:rRNA from 1 species